rnacentral:rRNA from 1 species
AGAGUUUGAUUCUGGCUCAGGACGAACGCUGGCGGUGUGCUUAAUGCAUGCAAGUCUACUACUUGUGACUUCGGUCACGCUAAAGUGGUGGCAAACGGCUUAGUAACACGUAAGUAAUCUGCCCUUAAGUGGGGGAUAAUCCGAAGAAAUUCGGCCUAAUACCGCAUAAUAUUUUAAUAUACAAAUGUUAAAAAGAAAGAUUUAUCGCUUUUGGAGGAGCUUGCGGCCUAUCAGGUAGUUGGUAAGGGUAAUGGCCUACCAAGCCUAAGACGGGUAACCGAAGUGAGAGCUUGAUCGGUAAGAGGGGAACUGAGACACGGUCCCCACUUCUACGGAAGGCAGCAGCAGGGAAUUUUGCGCAAUGGACUGUAUGGUCUGACGCAGCGACACCGCGUGGAGGAUGAAUGCUUUAGGGUUGUAAACUCCUUUUCUUAGGGAAGAUGAUGACGGUACCUAAGGAAUAAGCAUCGGCUAACUACGUGCCAGCAGCCGCGGUAAUACGUAGGAUGCAAGCGUUGUCCGGAAUUAUUGGGCGUAAAGGGCGUCUAGGUGGAUUAACAAGUCCUGUGUGAAAUCUCUUGGCUUAACCAAGAAAGGUCACAGGAAACUAUUAAUCUAGAGGUCAUGAGAGGUAAGUGGAAUUCACAGAGUAGUGGUGAAAUGCGUAGAUACUGUGAGGAACACCAGAGGCGAAAGCGACUUACUAGCAUGAAUCUGACACUAAAGCGCGAAAGUGUGGGUAGCAAACCGGAUUAGAUACCCGGGUAGUCCACACCAUAAACGAUGGAUACUAGUUAUGGGAGGCUUAGACCCCUCUGUAACGAAGCUAACG